rnacentral:rRNA from 1 species
CCUACGGGAGGCAGCAGUGGGGAAUAUUGGACAAUGGGCGAAAGCCUGAUCCAGCAAUGCCGCGUGAGUGAUGAAGGCCUUAGGGUUGUAAAGCUCUUUUACCAGGGAUGAUAAUGACAGUACCUGGAGAAUAAGCUCCGGCUAACUCCGUGCCAGCAGCCGCGGUAAUACGGAGGGAGCUAGCGUUGUUCGGAAUUACUGGGCGUAAAGCGUACGUAGGCGGUUAUUCAAGUCAGAGGUGAAAGCCUGGAGCUCAACUCCAGAACUGCCUUUGAAACUAGAUAGCUAGAAUCUUGGAGAGGUGAGUGGAAUUCCGAGUGUAGAGGUGAAAUUCGUAGAUAUUCGGAAGAACACCAGUGGCGAAGGCGACUCACUGGACAAGUAUUGACGCUGAGGUACGAAAGCGUGGGGAGCAAACGAGGAUUAGAUACCCUGGUAGUCCACGCCGUAAACGAUGAUAACUAGCUGUUCGGGCUCUACGAGCUUGAGUGGCGCAGCUAACGCAUUAAGUUAUCCGCCUGGGGAGUACGGUCGCAAGAUUAAAACUCAAAAGGAAUUGACGGCUGAGACGNGCGAGACGACGACGAGGAGAGG